UACGUAGGCGGAAUAUUAAGUCAGUGGUGAAAUCCUGCGGCUCAACCGUAGAACUGCCAUUGAUACUGAUAUUCUUGAAUAUAGUUGAGGUAGGCGGAAUGUGUAAUGUAGCGGUGAAAUGCUUAGAUAUUACACAGAACACCGAUUGCGAAGGCAGCUUACUAAACUAUUAUUGACGCUGAGGUACGAAAGCGUGGGGAGCGAGCAGGAUUAGAUACCCUGGUAGUCC
rnacentral:rRNA from 1 species